rnacentral:rRNA from 1 species
UACAGAGGGGGCAAGCGUUGUUCGGAAUUACUGGGCGUAAAGCGUGCGCAGGCGGCUUCUCAAGUCAGGGGUGAAAGCCCAGAGCUCAACUCUGGAAUUGCCUUUGAGACUGAGUGGCUUGAGUACGAGAGAGGUGAGUGGAAUUCCCAGUGUAGAGGUGAAAUUCGUAGAUAUUCGCAAGAACACCAGUGGCGAAGGCGGCUCACUGGCCCGAUACUGACGCUGAGGCACGAAAGCGUGGGGAGCAAACAGG